CGUUGGUCAGGUAGCCGGAGAACUCCUGCUCUUGCAGGGAGUGGUAGCUGUUGCCGAUGUGUUCGACGCCCAGCUCGGCGA
rnacentral:tRNA from 1 species